CCCCUCUCAGGGUGGCAUCUGGAGAGUUUCCAGUAUUCUACCAGUCUCAGCUACAGGAGGGAGAGUCAAAAAGAGGCCUGCCCAUUCCAUUCCUAGCUUGGGCAGUGGCUAGCGAGUGGAAGGCAAUCUGCUACAGGU
rnacentral:snoRNA from 1 species